rnacentral:rRNA from 1 species
GACGAACGCUGGCGGCGCGCUUAACACAUGCAAGUCGAGCGAGAACCGGGGCUUCGGCCCCGGGGACAGCGGCGAACGGGUGAGUAACACGUGAGUAACCUGCCCUCGGCACCGGAAUAGCCCGGGGAAACUCGGAUUAAUGCCGGAUAGCCCCUCUGCCCUGCGGGGCGGCGGGAAAAGGUAGCUUCGGCCUCUGGCCGAGGAUGGGCUCGCGGCGGAUUAGCUUGUUGGCGGGGUAACGGCCCACCAAGGCGACGAUCCGUAGCUGGUCUGAGAGGACGAUCAGCCACACUGGGACUGAGACACGGCCCAGACUCCUACGGGAGGCAGCAGUGGGGAAUCUUGCGCAAUGGGCGAAAGCCUGACGCAGCGACGCCGCGUGCGGGAAGAAGGCCUUCGGGUUGUAAACCGCUUUCAGGAGGGACGAAGCCACUCGGGUGAACAGCCCAGAGGGUGACGGUACCUCCAGAAGAAGCCCCGGCUAGCUACGUGCCAGCCGCCGCGGUAAGAC